GAUGAAGAACGUAGCGAAAUGCGAUAAGUAAUGUGAAUUGCAGAAUUCAGUGAAUCAUCGAAUCUUUGAACGCACCUUGCGCCCUUUGGCCAUUCCGAAGGGCAUGCCUGUUUGAGUAUCAUGAACACCUCAACUCUUUAUGGUUUUCCAUGAUGAGCUUGGACUCUGGGGGUUUUGCUGGCUCACAGUCGGCUCCUCUGAAAUGAAUCAGCUUACCAGUGUUUGGUGGGUAUCAUAGGUGUGAUAACUAUCUACGCUUGUGGUUUUUCCACCAGGUAACCUUCAGCAGUGGAGGUUCGCUGGAGCUCAUAGAUGUCUCUCCUCAGUGAGGACAACCCUUUGAAUGUUUGAUCUCAAAUCAGGUAGGACUACCCGCUGAACUUAAGCAUAUCAAUAAGCGGAGGA
rnacentral:misc_RNA from 1 species